UAAAGGUAUUCCGGUAGACGAUGGGGAUGCGUUCCAUUAGAUAGUAGGCGGGGUAACGGCCCACCUAGUCUUCGAUGGAUAGGGGUUCUGAGAGGAAGGUCCCCCACAUUGGAACUGAGACACGGUCCAAACUCCUACGGGAGGCAGCAGUGAGGAAUAUUGGUCAAUGGGCGAGAGCCUGAACCAGCCAAGUAGCGUGAAGGAUGACUGCCCUAUGGGUUGUAAACUUCUUUUAUAAAGGAAUAAAGUCGGGUAUGCAUACCCGUUUGCAUGUACUUUAUGAAUAAGGAUCGGCUAACUCCGUGCCAGCAGCCGCGGUAAUACGGAGGAUCCGAGCGUUAUCCGGAUUUAUUGGGUUUAAAGGGAGCGUAGAUGGAUGUUUAAGUCAGUUGUGAAAGUUUGCGGCUCAACCGUAAAAUUGCAGUUGAUACUGGAUAUCUUGAGUGCAGUUGAGGCAGGCGGAAUUCGUGGUGUAGCGGUGAAAUGCUUAGAUAUCACGAGGAACUCCGAUUGCGAAGGCAGCCUGCUAAGCUGCAACUGACAUUGAGGCUCGAAAGUGUGGGUAUCAAACAGGAUUAGAUACCCUGGUAGUCCACACGGUAAACGAUGAAUACUCGCUGUUUGCGAUAUAC
rnacentral:rRNA from 1 species